rnacentral:rRNA from 1 species
UGGGGAAUAUUGCACAAUGGGCGCAAGCCUGAUGCAGCCAUGCCGCGUGUGUGAAGAAGGCCUUCGGGUUGUAAAGCACUUUCAGCGGGGAGGAAGGCGUUAAGGUUAAUAACCUUGGCGAUUGACGUUACCCGCAGAAGAAGCACCGGCUAACUCCGUGCCAGCAGCCGCGGUAAUACGGAGGGUGCAAGCGUUAAUCGGAAUUACUGGGCGUAAAGCGCACGCAGGCGGUCUGUCAAGUCGGAUGUGAAAUCCCCGGGCUCAACCUGGGAACUGCAUUCGAAACUGGCAGGCUAGAGUCUUGUAGAGGGGGGUAGAAUUCCAGGUGUAGCGGUGAAAUGCGUAGAGAUCUGGAGGAAUACCGGUGGCGAAGGCGGCCCCCUGGACAAAGACUGACGCUCAGGUGUGAAAGCGUGGGGAGCAAACAGG